AGCCCGGUGGUCUAGCGGUCAAUGAUGCCGGCCCUUGGAGCCGGCGACGGGGGUUCGAAUCCCCUCCGGGCUA
rnacentral:tRNA from 1 species